rnacentral:rRNA from 1 species
UACGGAGGGCGCAAGCGUUGUUCGGAAUCACUGGGCGUAAAGCGCGUGUAGGCGGCUCUGCAAGUCGGGCGUGAAAUCCCGAGGCUCAACCUCGGAACUGCACUCGAUACUGCUUGGCUCGAGUCCCGGAGAGGGCGGCGGAAUUCCCGGUGUAGGGGUGAAAUCCGUAGAUAUCGGGAGGAACACCAGUGGCGAAGGCGGGCACCUGGACGGUGACUGACGCUGAGACGCGAAAGCGUGGGGAGCAAACAGG